GCGCUGUUGAGCAAGGAGAGUUGGUAGAGCACGAGAUUCUUCAUCUCAGGGUGUGGGUUCGAGUCCCAUGUUGGGCA